rnacentral:rRNA from 1 species
CAAUAGCGUAUAUUAAAGUUGUUGCGGUUAAAAAGCUCGUAGUUGGAUUUCUGCUGAGAACGACCGGUCCGCCCUUUGGGUGUGUAUCUGGCUCUUUCUUGGCAUCUUCUUGGUGAACGUUGCUGCACUUGACUGUGUGGAGCGCUACCCAGGACUUUUACUUUGAGGAAAUUAGAGUGUUUCAAGCAGGCAUACGCCUUGAAUACAUUAGCAUGGAAUAAUAAGGUAAGACCUCGGUUCUAUUUUGUUGGUUUCUAGAGCUGAGGUAAUGAUUAAUAGGGAUAGUUGGGGGCAUUCGUAUUUAACCGUCAGAGGUGAAAUUCUUGGAUUUGUUAAAGACGGACUACUGCGAAAGCAUUUGCCAAGGAUGUUUNCAUUGA